UCAUAGAACAUAAUUGUGAUAGCAGUAAAAGGCAAGUCAGGGUCUGGUCUUCAAAAUACAACUUAAUGCAUUCAGUAAGAAAUGGUGUCCUAAAAGCAUUCAUGUUCCCUGUGCCUAGGAUACAUGCAAAAAUAGAGCCAAAAAAAGACAGGAACGUAGGAGAUAUCUACAGAUGAUGUCUUAAGCAAUAAUGUCGUACCAACUGUUUAGCCGAUAAAUGUUUGGUAGCAGCCAUGAAAUGUGUGGUUUUGAAGUGACUAAGCAGGAUGCCAAGGAUUCUCUUUGUAUUGAAUGUUAAUGGUGGAAAUUUGUUUAGUUUGUUGUCUGACAAGGUUAUUCUUUUGCAGAUAUUUUGGAACAUUCCUUCCAUGAAGGAAGAACUCCUUUGGUUUGAUAAUUUAAAACAAAAUCUUGCUGAAGGCAACAAGAGAUUGGAAAAUCUACCACACUUCUUUUUCCUCAGACAAGAGGGGAUGAAGUAUCUAGUUUUGUUAUUUAUUCAGAUGACCUCUGGCCAUUUCCUUUUCCUCUAAAACUUAUUGAAAAUGUUUCACUAUAUAUUCUUCUUUCUCAUUAUACUACAUAGUGAAUAAAAAUGAUGGAUUUUAAAAACAAAGUGGAUAAAAUGGGGAGCCACAUAGGCCAAUGAAUAACACAUCACAUGCCUUUUCUGUUGAAGUAUUUGGGGGAGUUGGGUUUUGUUGGUUUUUUGUUUUUGUUUUUUUUUUUUUAUACGAUUGACCUAUAUCUGAAUGGUAUUGACUGAUUAAUCUAAUAUCUGUAUCCAUAGAUACUUUUGUAUUUCUGAUUUACCUGACAAAUGAUUGAACAGAACUCAUAAAUGUCACAGAGAUCUACUAGACUGCAUUUUUAAUAUUCUUCAAGAUCUUUUUUUUUGCCCUUAAUCAAGUACAGGGAAAUAACCUCGGCCUAUUCCUCAUAUGUACUCUACCAAGUAUGCACACAAUAUUGUUUCAACUGUUUGGAUUAUGUACAACAUGUGGGCGAAAACAUGAUGAACACCAAAAUGAAUAUGGAAUGAGUUCAAGUGGUUGAACCAAUAAACAAGGCUACUGCAGCAUGCAAUCAAGUUUAUUAUGUACAUGAACAAUAAACCUGGCAAAUGGAGUGCUGAAGUGACCUGCUGUGCUGUCCAACUGGAUAAGUGAUUUAUGUUAAUAUACCAGAGUAAUGACAUUUCAAGAGGAAGAAGGAACUCUGUGGCAGUGCUACUUUACUCCCUCCUGGAGCCUCACAAAAUGUCAUUUGUGUCAUGCUGAGUGCUGUUUAUUUUAGGUGCCAAAAUGUUCCUUCAGGAAGAGAAAAUAUUAUAAGGACAACAUAUGAAGAAAACAUAGAAAUGAAUCUUGGAAUAUACAGCUUUGACUCUCCUUGCUUUGCAGCACCUUCCCACAAAUGGUCAACGUGGUUCAAUUUCCAGCUAGGACAUAAUUUGCACAAUAACCUGAAGUUGAAAUUAAUACUCAGAAACAAGCUGUACUGGGCUUAAGAAAAAUCCAUUAAGCUGUCUGCAUUAGAGGAAGAAGCUGACCAAUGGAGUUGAAGCACAUUUGUUAUACUGUAAGAAGAAAGUUUCAGACAAAUAUCACAGGAACCAAGAUGACACUCCAAUAAGAAGAAAAAGUAAUUCACAGCUCCACCUUCACUGCUCUGCUUAGCGAAGACCAAGGACAAACGUCAGGAAAACCUGGAGUGUUUUGCUGCAGGUUGGGAGUAGCCACUAGGAGGGGCUGACUGCCUUGAAGAGAAGAAACAGGUACAAUGAAGCAUUGUCCAGGUGUGGGGCCCCCACAUAAGAAGGAUGUGGAUCUAAUGAAGAUGAUGAGAAGACUGAAGCACCACUCCUAUGAAGACAGUCUGAGAGAGUUGAAGUUGUUCAGCCUGGUGAAGAGAAAGGUCUGGCACCUUCCAAUGCCUAAAGGGGGUCUACAAGAAAGUUGGAGAGAUCAGAGUUCCAAUAUGGCCAUGUUCUUGAAAGGGAAGCACCUAAUACACAGCUCAUUUAUCAAGGCAAAAGUGUUUAACUAUGACCCUAAGCACAUGCUGCUGCUUGUUAGUUUAACUGAAGCUACACAAACAUGAUAAAAGGUAUAAUCCCCUGAAGAUGGAGGAAAGUUUCUCCCGUGGUUCAAGUGCUAACCUAGGACUUGGAAGAGAAGGGUUCAAUGUCCUGCUGUGCUGCAGACUUCUGGAGCAAGCAGUGAUAUUUCAUUUCACCAUCCCUGACAAAGGCAUCAGUUCAUCUCUAUUACAGGGAUUUUAUUCAGGAUUUGGUGAUUCAGUGGAACAUAUAUUUGGAGAAGUGGAUUUCUGCUCCAAGAACCAGGAAAGAGACUGCAUCACCAAAUGAAGAGUUUAAACCUCCAAAAUUCAAUGUGAAGAUUCAAGGGCUGCUAUACUGUAGUGCUCAGCAAGGUCUAAAGCCAUGAUCCCGAAGAUAUCAGCCUGUAAGCAUGGAUAUUCACCUUGUAUGUCACAUAUGAUGUGUAUUUUAAAAUGAGCUCAAAGGGAAGAGAGAGCUAAAAAAACCAACUACUUCUGUAAAAGGGGGAAGAGCUGUUUUUGCAUCUGUGUGACUUGGGGUGCAGCUGUCUGGAAAGCAGGUCUGUGGAGAAGGACACCAGGAUUCUGGUGCACAGCAAGUUGAAGGAGCCAACAGCGUGCACAGCCAAAGGUGCUGAAUGGCAAAGGAAGAAAAUAUGGACACCCCACUAGAACAGUCAUACCUGCUGGAAGAGUCACACCUGCUGAAAUACUAUACCUGCUGUAAAUCCUGGGGAUGGUAUCUCACCAUAAGAGAAAAGUCCUGAGCUCCAGCUCAAACAGCUCUAACUCCAGAACCAAUACC